GGAGAGGUGUCCGAGUGGCUUAAGGAGCACGCUUGGAAAGCGUGUGUACGGGAAACUGUACCGCGGGUUCGAAUCCCGCCCUCUCCGCCA
rnacentral:tRNA from 1 species